ACCUGGCUGGCUCAGUUGGUAGAGCAUGCAACUCUCAAUCUCAGAUCAUGAGUUCAAGCCCCACGUUGGGUG
rnacentral:tRNA from 1 species